GUAGUGACGAAAAAUAACGAUAUGGGACUCAUCCGAGGCCCCAUAAUCGGAAUGAAUACACUUUAAAUCCUUUAACGAGGAUCCAUUAGAGGGCAAGUCUGGUGCCAGCAGCCGCGGUAAUUCCAGCUCUAAUAGCGUAUAU
rnacentral:rRNA from 1 species